UGAUGAUUAAUUUCUGGGAAACAUCCUCAGCAGAAUUAUUUGAAGGUGUUGCACUGGAGAGUAAAGGCAAAGAGGCAGUGGCUUGUGGGAAAGAGGGCAGCAGAGUAAUGCCCACCUGUGGCUCCAGAUUUUCCCACCCUCCCAUGGGACAGGGAAGGGAACUGGCUGUAGUGGAGCCAGUCCAGGGGCCGGUGACCUUCGAGGAGGUGGCUGUGUAUUUCACCAGGG